rnacentral:rRNA from 1 species
ACGCUCGACACCUACAGGCAGCAGUGAGGAAUAUUGGUCAAUGGACGCAAGUCUGAACCAGCCAUGCCGCGUGCAGGAUGACGGCUCUAUGAGUUGUAAACUGCUUUUGUACGAGGGUAAACGCAGAUACGUGUAUCUGUCUGAAAGUAUCGUACGAAUAAGGAUCGGCUAACUCCGUGUCAGCAGCCGCGGUAAUCUGAGCGGGCUGGCAAGGC